UACGUAGGGUGCAAGCGUUAAUCGGAAUUACUGGGCGUAAAGCGUGCGCAGGCGGUUGUGCAAGACAGAUGUGAAAUCCCCGGGCUCAACCUGGGAAUUGCAUUUGUGACUGCAUCGCUGGAGUGCGGCAGAGGGGGAUGGAAUUCCGCGUGUAGCAGUGAAAUGCGUAGAUAUGCGGAGGAACACCGAUGGCGAAGGCAAUCCCCUGGGCCUGCACUGACGCUCAUGCACGAAAGCGUGGGGAGCAAACAGG
rnacentral:rRNA from 1 species